UAAGUCGGUAGUGAAAGCGUAGGGGCUCAACCCUAUACACAUUAUCGAAACUGCGAAGCUAGAGGACGAGAGAGGUUAUUGGAAUUCCUAGUGUAGGAGUGAAAUCCGUAGAUAUUAGGAGGAACACCGAUGGCGUAGGCAGAUAACUGGCUCGUUCCUGACACUAAGGCACGAAAGCGUGGGUAGCAAACGGGAUUAGAUACCCCGGUAGUCCACGCCGUAAACGAUGGAUGCUA
rnacentral:rRNA from 1 species